CAGCACCCCACACCAACAUUCACAUUCAGUGCACCCCAAACACCAAGAACUCCUCCUUUUUUUCUCCUGUAAUAAUCCUGUACCCUCUCUCUCUAUCUCCCUGCAGCUGCUGCCUAGCUCCAGUACGGCCACCGUCGUCGAUCGGUCUCUCUCUCUCACCGGAUCCGAGAAGCAAAGAACCGAUCUUUUUUCUUCUUUUUUCCCCUGCGUGAUGCUUCUUGUUUACUACUACGUGGGUGCAGUGCAGGUUUGUUGAUCGAUCUUGGGGCGGGGCGGGAUCGAGCAUAUGAAAGGCGAGAUUGUUGACAGAAGAGAGUGAGCACACGGCGCGGCGGCUAGCCAUCGGCGGGAUGCCUGCCCCCGCCGCGUGCUCGCUCCUCUUUCUGUCAGCAUCUCUCAUCACUCCCUCCCGCAUCCCCCGCCCCGAUCUCGCGUCGAUCUCUCAUCUCCGGAGAGGAGCCAUCUUUUAAUUUGUUUGAUUUGAUUUGAUCUCGUUUCCCUGAAUUUCUUGGUGGAAACCCGCGCCGACACGCGUGGCUUUUCUUUCUUUCUUUCUUUUUUUUGUGCAGAGACAGAGAGAUCGAGAUAGCAAGGACAUGUCACUUCAUUAUCUUCUAGAUAUGCACGCAAAACAUUUUUUGUUUGUUUUUCUCUCUCUCUUCUUGAUUCGAUUUCAUCUCUUUCUUGCUGUCAUCACAGCCUUGCAUGCCGGGGAGCUACUACCGAGGAGAUCAGCGAUUAUUGCUGAUAUGAUGCUGCUGCUGAUGGAGUGAUGGCAAGGAGGAGGAGGAGAAAAGAUGAGCAUUUGAUGUGGGUUCUUGGCGUUUGAUGAUGAACUGAUGAUGAUGAUCCAGUGCUGCUAGCUGGGCUUGGUGAGCUCCUGCUGGCUCAAAAAUGGAGCAUGGAGGUCACUAGGAGGAGAACCAUAUUUGGCAAGGACGGUGGUCUCGCCUUUGCUUUGGCCAGAUCUGAUGGAUGAUAAACUACUACAUGCAUGAUAUAAUGGAUAGCAGAAGCAAGCUAAGCCACCACCACCACCAGCAGCAGGAGCACUAGCUGCAAGUCUCUGCAAUAUCACCAAUACUAAGCAGUACAGGUGCACACGAUGAAGAGGGAACAACAGCUGAAAAGAAGUGAAACAUAGGCUGCUUCUGCAGUAUUGAUAAUUUCUAACAGUUGCUGUCAUAGAAGGCAAAUGCAUCUGCAGCUUACAUGGAGCAUUCUGCAAGAGUAUGUUUGGUGAUAACUGAGUUUUUAGAGGAUGUGUGCAACCAAUUCUCGCACGCAAGUCCAUCGCGAUAGGGGAUUUGGUGUUCACUGAAUUCAAACCGUUCCUUUCAAGCAAGAAGGGUCCUGAAGGAUAUAACAGCUUCAAAUCAUACAAUCUUUGCCCCUCCCUUUUAUUCGGCUGGAACUAUUGAAAUGUCACUUUCAGGAUGGUUAGAAGCUUGUGCUUUAGGGGAAAAUUUCAAAACUUUUGCAUUUUUUCCUUAGCCUUUCUUUGUCAGUAGUACCAAACUGCGCCUUUAUUUCCAGUGUUCCUGGAGAAACGUCACGCUCAAUAUUAGUUGACCAUAUACACAAAUUCUUUGCUUCCAAGGUAUCAUUUUCCUUUUGCAGAUUUGGACAUUUUUUGCCAUGCCAAAGAUCUCAUCUUUUACAGGCUCCCAAAGAGCAUUGGUAGUAGUUGGUAGUACACUGGUACUAUUAGUACCAAAUGACUGAAAAAGAAUGGUUAGUACAGUAGUACUAGUGCUGCCCAUGAGUACUUUGGUUGUUGCUCUUGUCAUCUUCCAUGUUAAUUACUCCUAUUUUGCUGUCCGGUA